ACUGCAGUCGAGCGGACGAAGGGAGCUUGCUCCCGGAUGUUAGCGGCGGACGGGUGAGUAACACGUGGGUAACCUGCCUGUAAGACUGGGAUAACUCCGGGAAACCGGAGCUAAUACCGGAUAGUUCCUUGAACCGCAUGGUUCAAGGAUGAAAGACGGUUUCGGCUGUCACUUACAGAUGGACCCGCGGCGCAUUAGCUAGUUGGUGAGGUAACGGCUCACCAAGGCGACGAUGCGUAGCCGACCUGAGAGGGUGAUCGGCCACACUGGGACUGAGACACGGCCCAGACUCCUACGGGAGGCAGCAGUAGGGAAUCUUCCGCAAUGGACGAAAGUCUGACGGAGCAACGCCGCGUGAGUGAUGAAGGUUUUCGGAUCGUAAAGCUCUGUUGUUAGGGAAGAACAAGUGCAAGAGUAACUGCUUGCACCUUGACGGUACCUAACCAGAAAGCCACGGCUAACUACGUGCCAGCAGCCGCGGUAAUACGUAGGUGGCAAGCGUUGUCCGGAAUUAUUGGGCGUAAAGGGCUCGCAGGCGGUUUCUUAAGUCUGAUGUGAAAGCCCCCGGCUCAACCGGGGAGGGUCAUUGGAAACUGGGAAACUUGAGUGCAGAAGAGGAGAGUGGAAUUCCACGUGUAGCGGUGAAAUGCGUAGAGAUGUGGAGGAACACCAGUGGCGAAGGCGACUCUCUGGUCUGUAACUGACGCUGAGGAGCGAAAGCGUGGGGAGCGAACAGGAUUAGAUACCCUGGUAGUCCACGCCGUACACGAUGAGUGCUAACUGUUAAGGCGGUUUCCGCCCCUUAAUUGCUGCAGCUUAAGCCAUUAAAGCACUCCCGCCUGAGGGAGAACGG
rnacentral:rRNA from 1 species